rnacentral:piRNA from 1 species
UAGGAUUUUGUCUUGAUGCCAAAUGA